rnacentral:rRNA from 1 species
CAAUAGCGUAUAUUAAAGUUGUUGCGGUUAAAAAGCUCGUAGUUGGAUCUCGGCAGGCAGGGGGUGGUUCGCUCUUAGCGCUACUGCCCCAUUUGCCUGUGUGAUUGGCGGAGGUUUCGGGGUGCUCUUCGUUGAGUGACCCGGGGCGCCGUCAGGUUUACUUUGAAAAAAUUAGAGUGCUCAAAGCAGGCUUUUCACGCUUGAAUAUUCGUGCAUGGAAUAAUGGAAUAGGAACUCGUUUCUAUUUUGUUGGUUUUCGGAAAUCGAGUUAAUGAUUAAUAGGGACAAUUGGGGGCAUUAGUAUUCAGACGACAGAGGUGAAAUUCUUGGACCGUCUGAAGACUAACUACUGCGAAAGCAUUUGCCAGGAGUGUUUUCAUUAA